GCUCAGACAGCUAGGAGGUUGGCUUAGAAGCAGCCACCCUUUAAAGAAAGCGUAAUAGCUCACUAGUCGAGUCGGCCUGCGCGGAAGAUGUAACGGGGCUCAAACUGGUUACCGAAGCUGCGGCUGUGCACGCAAGUGCACGGGGUAGGGGAGCGUUCUGUAAGCCUGCGAAGGUGUGUCGAGAGGCAUGCUGGAGGUAUCAGAAGUGCGAAUGCUGACAUGAGUAACGACAAUGGGGGUGAAAAACCCCCACGCCGGAAGACCAAGGGUUCCUGCGCAACGCUAAUCGGCGCAGGGUGAGUCGGCCCCUAAGGCGAGACCGAAAGGUGUAGUCGAUGGGAAACGGAUUAAUAUUUCCGUACCUUGGAUAGCUGCGAUGGAGAGACGGAGAAGGCUAGGUGAGCCGGGCGACGGUUGUCCCGGUUUAAGCAUGUAGGCAGUGGGAUUAGGCAAAUCCGGUCCCAUAAUGCCGAGACGCGACGACGACUGCCCUUUUAGGGCGGGAAGUCAUUGAUGCCCUGCUUCCAGGAAAAUCUUCUAAGCUUCAGGCUAUUCGAGACCGUACCCCAAACCGACACAGGUGGUCAGGUAGAGAAUA
rnacentral:rRNA from 17 species